rnacentral:rRNA from 1 species
AACGAACGCUGGCGGCAGGCUUAACACAUGCAAGUCGAACGCCCGCAAGGGGAGUGGCAGACGGGUGAGUAACGCGUGGGAACGUGCCCUUCGCUUCGGAAUAGCCCCGGGAAACUGGGAGUAAUACCGAAUACGCCGUAUUGGGAAAGAUUUAUCGGCGAAGGAUCGGCCCGCGUUAGAUUAGCUAGUUAGCGGUGUAAUGGACCACCAAGGCUACGAUCUAUAGCUGGUCUGAGAGGAUGAUCAGCCACACUGGGACUGAGACACGGCCCAGACUCCUACGGGAGGCAGCAGUGGGGAAUCUUGGACAAUGGGCGCAAGCCUGAUCCAGCCAUGCCGCGUGAGUGAAGAAGGCCUUAGGGUUGUAAAACUCUUUCGCCGGAGAAGAUAAUGACGGUAUCCGGAGAAGAAGCCCCGGCUAACUUCGUGCCAGCCGCCGCCGUAACAC